GAAAAAGGGCGGUUUAGUGAGGGGGAGUAAAGAAACUAAACUUUACAAAGCAAAAACACGAAUCAUCUCAAAGGAUUUGAAAUUUGUCAUGGCUGCAAGCAUUCAGUUAGCCUUACGAGACAAAGAAGACCACCAUGAAAUGGAACUUUCUCCUAAAUCUCAUGCCAAGCAACAGUUCUCAACUCGAGAAAAAACAUGUUAAAUUGCUUUGUUAAGUUAUA
rnacentral:misc_RNA from 1 species